GCUUCGGGAGUUGAAACAAUGACCUCCCAUUAAAACCCUUGGAGUCACAGGGAGAAACAGAUUUCUAGAAUUGGACCUAAAUCUGUUCAUUCUUAUUUUUCCUAUUUUUGGCUACCUGAAGAAACCAACAAUAUUUGUUCCCUGGGUAUUUUGAAGUUCACCAUAAAUAAUACCACUCGGUUUAGAAAACUGUGUAUUCAGUUCCUCAGAGAAUGGAUUAUCUAAUUACGUGUCUGUGUUUACAUGGAACAGGUAGUCCAAUCCACGAAAGUGUGAGAACCAUGAGCCUAGUCUCGACCUCAGGAGUUGCCUGAGGAAACUGAUGCUAAAAAUCCAAGUUGCAAAUCAAAAUAUUAGAAAAAUCAAGCCAUGCUCUAGACUUGGAAGCCCGACACUUAGAUCAUCUCUCUCUGAGCAGAGCCAGCUGUUGGCCCCCAUAGGAGUUGGAGACUUGGAAUCCCCUUUGGUGCAGAAACUAUUCCUUCAUGAGAAGAAGUCCUUAAAUAGGCUCUUUAGGUAAGAGAUAUAAGAGAUAUAAAGCAAAUGCCCUGUAGGAAAAAACUGUG
rnacentral:lncRNA from 1 species